CCAGCUGUCCUGGUUUGCCUGGGACCGAGGGGGUUACUGGGACAGGGGACUCUUCAGUGCUAAAACCAGGAA
rnacentral:miRNA from 1 species